rnacentral:lncRNA from 1 species
ACUAAUUAAUAAAAUUAAUUUUUAACUUUUCAAAAUUACUUUUAAACUUUUUAAACCAAAAGCAAUUCAGAGACGAGCCAUGUUCCAUGAUGGAUUGGAUUUUAAUUUCAAUUGUGCAACAUACAAUCGGUUUUCUUGUGUCCUACAUCAACUUUGCAAAUUGCAAAUUAACAAAAAAUAACAAGUUAUCAGAUAAACUGGGUUUUUUUUUUUUUUUUGGUGUCAAGGGAGGUGGGGGUGGCCCAAACAAAAAGGUUCUGAUCCCUUGCCCAUUCAGCGGAACAAUCCAUGUCCAUCACCAUCACCCUCGGCUUCAAAUUUGUAACAGCGGAACCUCACAUCACCGAACACCACCACCAACCAACAAACGGUAAAAAUCACCCUGGUCCUUUUCCCUAGCCCAGCGCCCCUAACAGCUCUAAGAUGCCAACAACACGAUGUAAAAGACAAAAGUUCCCUGGACCCCACGUGGCCCUUUUCCCCAGCAAAAAAUCAUCGGUCCAAUUCUAAAUUAAAAUAAAGCUGACAAUGGUUUAUCAUUUUCAUCCCUAAAAUCUUACAUUUUUCACUCUAAAGUUAUAGCUUGUCCAUUUAUAUUAAAGAGGUCGGCCGACUUGUUAUAAUUUCUAAAAUUACCAAUGACCAAUUAUCUUGGCCUAUGUUUAGAAUAAGUGUAUGUUUAAGAUCAUGUUAGAUUAUCGAAUAAUAAUUUAU